rnacentral:rRNA from 1 species
GAUUAACGCUGGCGGCGUGCAUAACACAUGCAAGUCGAACGAUGAAACUUAACUGAUUUCUUCGGAAUGAUUUUAAGUGGAUUAGUGGCGGACGGGUGAGUAACGCGUGAGUAACCUGCCUUGGAGAAGGGGAUAGCCUUUGGAAACGAAGAAUAAUACCCUAUGAUAUGAUAAUAUCUCAUGAUAUUAUCAUCAAAGAUUUAUCGCUCUAAGAUGGACUUGCGUCUGAUUAGUUAGUUGGUGAGGUAACAGCUCACCAAGGCAGCGAUCAGUAGCCGGCUUGAGAGAGUGUACGGCCACAUUGGGACUGAGACACGGCCCAGACUCCUACGGGAGGCAGCAGUGGGGAAUUUUGCACAAUGGGGGAAACCCGGAUGCAGCGACGCCGCGUGAUUUAGAAGGCCUUCGGGUUGUAAAAAUCUUUUGUAUGGGAAGAAAAUGACAGUACCAUACGAAUAAGGACCGGCUAAUUACGUG